GGCGGGGUGGAGCAGCUUGGUAGCUCGUCGGGCUCAUAACCCGAAGGUCGUUGGUUCAAAUCCAGCCCCCGCAACCA
rnacentral:tRNA from 1 species